rnacentral:lncRNA from 1 species
GGUUACCGCUUCAGAGGCAGCGAACCGGGGGAAGCUUCACGUUCACGGACGUCCUGCAGGGAAGAGAAGGGCAGGAAGGGAGCGCACACUAUCAGGACCACCCAUCACAGCAAUACGCAGCAAGUCAAGACUUUAUCCCACACACACAUCGACACUGUGACGAGGGGGUGGCAUCGCAGCCAGAUCAGCAUCCGGUGACCAACGAUCAACACGCUGCGCUGCGCCGUCCCACCGCUGCUACACAGAGACCCGAACAGCCGUCGAUAACCAGCGACGAGGACUCCGCGCCACACCCUCCCCCCGCCGCCACACAGAGACCCGGUAAGUGAUCAGAAAUAAAG